GAGCCGGCUCCCUGUCAGCAGCCCCUGUGAGCCAUCGAGCUGGUCUCUCCAGGGCAUUUUCUAAACAAUGUGAAACGACCAGAGGUGGGAAUUACACCUGCGGUCCAUUGCCUCAUCUCUCCACAUCCUCCUUAUGGAGAAGAAGUUCCCUAAAGAUGAUUAAUUACCUGAAAGAAUUCCAUAGGUGAAAAGACCUGAUGGGGGGUGAUUUUUAAUUAAUGGAGGUAACUUUGGACAUCUGUAAAAAUCAACAAUCCUCCAGAUGAAAGCUAAGAAUUCAGUCCUCUGAUAUGUAAUUGAGUGUCUUUCUUUUCAGUGGAUUUGCUGGAAGCCUCUCGUGAUGGUCUUUAUUCUGAGCAAAAGCAUCUGCUAAACAAUUAACUAAUGGUUUUACCGAUUGGAUUUUAAUUUUUUAGUGGUUGUUAUAAAAUCAAUAGAGCAGCAGAAAAUUUAGAAGAUGCAGAAAACAAUCUCCCCGAAUCCUGCCCCCAUCACGAAGAUCUGAGAUGACAAUUGUACGUUUCCAGCCCUUCGCCCUACACAGACGGUUUUGCAGUUGUAAACACAGGGUAGGCUGUACCCUGUUUUUUUUCACUUAAUAUAAUCUGAUUCUCUUUUAUGAGCAAUGAAAUUUGAUACGAGGUACGGCUCAGUCUUUCGAAAGACCAUUGUUGGAAGGAUUGGUGAGUAUUUGCUAAGGCCCAUCGACUUCAGGGAAUCAGGAAAUUAAACUUUUUAUUUAUUGGUCUUUGACUUUCCCAUAAAUGGACACAGUUCUACCUUGUUUGACUGCAGUGUCGGCCUGGCUGAACAAAGGCCAUGCCGAUGAGUAAUUAGGCAUUAGGUGGAGGCAGGGCAGAGCUUUAUGGGGCCAUUAGUCCUUGCCCACAGCUGCUUUCAAGGUUCAGGGGCUGCUCCUUGGGCAUCAGGUACUUAUAAAGGCAACGUACAGCAUUUCACACUUACACAGCCCUUUCUGAGUCCUCGACACGGCACCAGGAAUCCCACAAGGACUACCUGGUAUGUUUGGGAAAUGCCAGACUUGUUUCACCCAGAGAAAAGCCAGGCUUGAGCCGUGCUGUCAAGCCUCAAAGCCCAGAGCCGAGUUGAAGGGGGUCUAACUGGCUCAAGACACCGCAUCAGGACCAAAGAUUGGGGGUGGCAGCAGAGAGCUCAGAGGAGGAAAUGUGUUCUUCUUGCUUGUUUUAUGGUUCUUAGGGUGUUACCAUAACAGCGUGGAUUCUUCCCUGAACACAGCAGAACAUAUGGGAAACCUAUACUUAGCUUAUCAUUUCAAACCCUUCCUCCCCCACACCCAUCCCCCCUCCCAGGGUACCAAUUCUGCAGGUUAAAAAAAAAAUUGUUGAAUUGAAGGAUGCGCCUGCUCCCCAGACCCACGGACCAGCAGUGAUGUGUCCUGAGCUUUGACUGGAGUUUUGAUUGACCCACUAACAUCCCAAGAGGAGAUUGUUCACGCAAUGGUUGUAACAGCCAUGGAAGGAGACGUGCGGCCACCGUGUCUGCAUCCGGGGCCACCAGAACAGAGACGGCUGUGGCCAAAGACAGCCACAAAAUAUGCCAAGCAAAGAGAGGGCACAAAGCCAUCUCUAAAAUUUGUCAUAAAUGUCAAAACAGACCAAAGGAGAAUGUGCUGCUCCACCUAAAAACAGAGAGCAUUUAAGAGUUGGUCUCUUAAAGGAAAUGAUUGCUCUGUUCUUUCAGCAAUUGUGUCUGAGGGUCUUGAGAUCUGAUGUUUGCAAGUGUAAAUUAGAAAGUCCAACCAUUAUGCACAUGCCUACCACACACAGUAAGUAACGGAAGUUUCCCGGUUUUGUUCUGGAACAGAUACUAGGCAGCAUCACUCCAAAACAGUAUUACGAAGCCAUCAGCGAUUCUUUUAGUGUCUAAGUCAUUGCUAGGAUGGCACAGGUCCAAGUCUAAUUCAUUAGCCAGGAAGAAAUCUAUAAACACCUGCAUGUAAUUGAUUAGUAAGUUGGGGCUUCUUUAACUGGCUGUUUGCGCCUCUGUUCGAAACAACACACUAAAACAAAGAACCAACAGUGGCAAGUCAUUGACAGCUUGCCAAGUUAUUACAGAUUUUUACUUUUGCAAAUUGUGUUAUUGUACUUGGAGCAUCAAUCCUGGAGACCCCAAGACCUACCCCCCUCCCCAUGAAAUGCUAUAUCCUUUUGUUCUUGGCUCACUGAUGAGAACAGUCAAGGUCAUUGGACAGCAUUGUUUACUUUUUUUUAUAGAAAACAAUUAAAUGAAAAAAAGACUGGUUUUAAGGGCAAGUUCCCUAAUUUGCAUGUCUAUAGCUGGUAAACAUACUCUUUAAUCCCAAAGAGGAAAGACAGAUUUUUCCCCCAUCCCCACAACUCUGCUUCCCAUAAUUGCAGAUUUGGUUCUAUAUACCUUUUUGGUAAUUUUUAAUUUAGCCUUUAAAUUUUUCUAUAUAUUUGUCUUUUUAGGGCUGUACCUGCCGCAUAUGGAAUUUCCCAGGCUACGGGUGGAAUCAGAACUGCAGCUGCGGCACCACAGCCACAGCAACACUAGCUCCAAGCUGCAUCUGUGACUUACACCAUGGCUCAUGGCAAUGCCAGAUCCUUCACCCACUGAGAGAGGCCGGGGAUCGAACCUAUAUCCUCAUGGAUACUACUUGGCUUUGUAAUCCACUGAGCCACAACAGGAACGCCCUUUUUAGUAAUUUUAAAUAUUUCAUCUCCAGUAUAUUGAGUUUUGGCUCCUUCUCACUGGAGAUCAUUGGUGUUUGAACAGAGAAAGGUGAGGCAAGGCAGAGGUUCGGCAAAUGAGGGCUUGGGAGGAGACCUUGGGAGAAGAAAAGGAAAGUGAAGGAAGUAUACCUGUUGGAGAACUCCUUCCUGCAUGACAGGGACUUGCAGAAGACUUACCCCAGACAGAGCUAAAGCCAUGUAACUCUGUGCAUGGGGAGAUGAACUUGAACGUCAAGUACAGCGCAAUCCCACAGGAUUUUCAUGGAUCUGAUUACUUUGAAUGUCUGGAACCAGGAACCCAGGAAACAAGACUGAACAUCAGAAGCAGCUCAAGUGUCAGAAAAUCUGCCUGUGGAUAGACUCUGGCAUCCUAUUAAACCAAACCAAAACAAAGCAUCUCUUUGAAACUGGUAACAAGAGGUUAUCACCUACAGUUUCCCUCAAAAAAGGAACAUCAAGGAGUUCUCUGGUGGCCUAGUGGUUAAGGAUCUAGCUUUGUCACUGCUAUGGCUGGGGUUCGAUCCCUGGCCCAGGAACUUCCACAUGCCAUGGGCGUGGCCAAAAAAAAAAAAAAAACGGAGUGGUAAUGGACAUGCCCACGAAUACUAGUUUUGGAUGUAUAACAUGUCACUGCAUAGUCUCUUGAUUUUAGUGUGCCAUUUAAAAAUUUUGAUUUAGUGACUAGAAAACCACUUUGUAAAGGCUGUGAUAACCCUCACAGUGAGUCUUGUUUGCAUCCUUCUCCCAAGAGCUGAAGUUCUUUAGUGGUGAAUUCUACCAGAGGUGGGGCCCGGGUGAGCUCCACCUUCCUUCUUAGAUGGGGGGGGGGGGGGGUGACACCGGUACCAUCAAAAUCAACAGAGUCUGGAAUAGUUGGUUUGCCAAACACUGUGUCCUUUUCAGGGUAGGGGAUGGCUAUUCACUCGAUUGCCCAGAUGUGAAACAUAUAUUACAGAGUAAAAGCCAACAUUUAAGCGUUUAAAAAUUACUCCCUGCAAAUGGCGCCCAACAUCCGCUGAGCCUGCUCUCCACGUGUGUCCCACGUGCUCCACGCAGAGAGGGGGAGUGGGGGCCCUGAAAUGUAACUGAGAGCGGGAGCAGCCUCCAGGGGAGGGAUGUGACCGAGUGUGCAGAGGCCUAGCCUUUCAGGGUCAGAAGGCAACCCUGGGGACAUCCAUUCCCAGUCCUUUCCUGGAGGGGCCGAGAUCCUUUUAGGUGGUUGCCAGACACCGCAUGAAAUAAUAGUGGCUUAUACAUUAAGAAGGUUUCCUUUUCUAUUUCACACCCUCUGUUCGAGUUGGGGAGAAAGCCUCGGGUUUGGCGAUAGUCCGUCUAAACCUCUGACGCCUACUAACACCCCUUUCCAACCAUGGCCGGCCGGGCCUCAGACAAGAAGUCUUGAGCAAAAGCCAUGAUGGGUGGGAUUUAAUCCCGUUGGAUCCGGUUUUUUUUCACACUGCAUUUACUUUUAGGUUACCUGCUAUUUAUGACAAGUGAUCUUGAUUUUCUAA
rnacentral:lncRNA from 1 species